CCUCACCAGAACAGCCCUGUAUUCUGAUGUGAGAUCCUAGAAACUGUCAUCUUCACACACAAUGCUACUCUCCUGAACCAGCCAGCCAUCUCCAGAGAAUACUUCAGAAUACCUCUGAAGCCCAAAUAAAAUAUUUUAAAUCGCUCCUGCAGAAGAAGCUUCUGAAGUAGGGUGUGAUGCUUUGAAGAUAAAGAUAACAUCAUGUUUUAUCUGACCUGGCUAAAGAUGGAACUUGGAACAUCCAAAAGGAUGUCACUGCUGAAUUUAGUUCCUGCUGACUCUGGAGAAGAGCAAUUACUGUGAUGCUUGAUUCCAGACACACACUUGAUAUCUUCAAGUAACAGUGAAGCCAAACGUACUUAUUGUGAAAAGCCAAGUUUCCAGCAGUGGAAGGUUCGUUCAGUAACCCACUCCACCAAUGGU